rnacentral:misc_RNA from 1 species
GGUUUAUCUGCUCCUAACAAUGCAGCAAUCCUAAAACGUCCUAGGACUCCUACGAAUAAUCCAGCAAUGGAUUAUCAAACAGCAGAUUCUGAACAUAUAUUGAAGAGAACAAGACCGUUUGGAAUAUCAGAUGAGGUCAAUAAUCUACAAGUUAAUAUUCUGCCUGUUGCAUACGCUAGUCAGACCCAUGGACAAAGUUCUUAUUCUUCUGAUGACUUGCCCAAAACUCCUGUUAUGGCUUUAAAUCAAGGCUCUGCAGUCAAGAGCAUGGAUUUCCAUCCAGUGCAACAAAUUCUACUUCUUGUUGGAACAAACAUGGGUGAUGUCAUGGUAUGGGAGUUGGGUAG